UUAAGUGGCGGACGGGUGAGUAACGCGUGGGUAACCUGCCUUGUACUGGGGGACAACAGUUGGAAACGACUGCUAAUACCGCAUAAGCGCACAGCUUCGCAUGAAGCAGUGUGAAAAACUCCGGUGGUACAAGAUGGACCCGCGUCUGAUUAGCUGGUUGGUGAGGUAACGGCCCACCAAGGCGACGAUCAGUAGCCGGCCUGAGAGGGUGAACGGCCACAUUGGGACUGAGACACGGCCCAAACUCCUACGGGAGGCAGCAUG
rnacentral:rRNA from 1 species